ACGGGUGCGUAACGCGUGGGAAUCUGCCCUUGGGUUCGGAAUAACAGUGAGAAAUUACUGCUAAUACCGGAUGAUGUCUUCGGACCAAAGAUUUAUCGCCCAGGGAUGAGCCCGCGUAGGAUUAGGUAGUUGGUGGGGUAAUGGCCUACCAAGCCGACGAUCCUUAGCUGGUCUGAGAGGAUGAUCAGCCACACUGGGACUGAGACACGGCCCAGACUCCUACGGGAGGCAGCAGUGGGGAAUAUUGGACAAUGGGCGAAAGCCUGAUCCAGCAAUGCCGCGUGAGUGAUGAAGGCCUUAGGGUUGUAAAGCUCUUUUACCAGGGAUGAUAAUGACAGUACCUGGAGAAUAAGCUCCGGCUAACUCCGUGCCAGCAGCCGCGGUAAUACGGAGGGAGCUAGCGUUGUUCGGAAUUACUGGGCGUAAAGCGCGCGUAGGCGGUUACUCAAGUCAGAGGUGAAAGCCCGGGGCUCAACCCCGGAACUGCCUUUGAAACUAGGUGACUAGAAUCUUGGAGAGGUCAGUGGAAUUCCGAGUGUAGAGGUGAAAUUCGUAGGA
rnacentral:rRNA from 1 species